AUUGAACGCUGGAGGCAGGCCUAACACAUGCAAGUCGAGCGAGAGGCGGACGGGUGAGUAAUGUAUGGGGAAGGACCGAUAGAGGGGGAUAACAACUGGAAACGGUGGCUAAUACCGCAUACUAUCGGCUAACCGAUAUGGGAUUAGGUAGGAGGUGGGGUAAAGGAUCACCUAGGCGACGAUCUGUAGCUGGUCUGAGAGGAUGAUCAGCCACACUGGGACUGAGACACGGCCCAGACUCCGACGGAGGCAGCAGUGGGGAAUAUGGCACAAUGGGCGCAAGCCUGAUGCAGCCAUGCCGCGUGUAUGAAGAAGGCCUUAGGGUUGUAAAGUACUUUCAGCGGGGAGGCGUUACCCGCAGAAGAAGCACCGGCUAACUCCGUGCCAGCAGCCGCGGUAAUAC
rnacentral:rRNA from 1 species